GCCCGCCGGAGUCCAAGAAGUUUCCUCCAGGUCCCCUUAUGUCACCCGAGUUUUUGUUUAUGGGAACAUCUUGACCUGACCUAUAUGUGAAGAAGGAAUUCAUAGGGCCUGGACUCCAUCUCAGGCCUGUCUGUGCUGAUCGUGGGCGGCCACCUCUCCAGUGGACUCUGAACUCUGUGCUUAGCGCCCGUGGGAAUGACAAUGGAAGAAUAAGACCCCCCUCUGGGCAGGGGAAUCUUGAAGAAGAGAAAACAGACACUAAUCACCCCUGCCUCCGGACACUAUCUAUCAGAAUGUAAGCACAGGCUUAUCGGUUAUUAACUAUCUGGAAUGUAACUGCAGGCUUAUUGAUUAUUGACUGUUUGAACACAUAACACGUGAAUGAUGGGGUUAUUGUAGUUGUAUUUACCCUUCCUUUGUUUAUGUAAGUCUCAAGCGAAUUGGGGUAGUGGGUUUGGACACGUACACAUGGGGUAUAAAAGAUUUUCACAAAUGCUGGUCGGGGUCCUUGGCUAAGAGGAGACUCUGCCUUGGGCCCGCCGCUAUCUG